UCCAGGGGCCCGUCCCGAACAGAAACCUCCGCUCUGCUCUCAAAGGCCAAGCGAAGCCAUUGACUGGGCAGGUUAAACAUGAUCUGGAAAUGACACUUUGCUGCUUCAGUGGAGCGCCGUCUCCGUGCUCCGUACUCCCUUCCACGAGUAACGUGGGGACGUGGCUGUGCCUCAGCAGUCAUGUCGGUAGACGGGAAUGAAAGUGAAGGUACCACGGGGAGAAAUGGGAUUGUUGUAGUUCUGUGUAUUUUGUUUAAGUUGAAAGUGUCUGUUGAUAACUCUUUCUAUGUAGUGAGUCUUUCCCUAUUGAGAAUUGGAAAUCUUCAAAUAACUGGCUAUGGCCUUCCUCAGGUCAGGAAGGACCAAUGGACAAAAAGUCCAAGUCCGGAGAUUUCUGUCCUGAAAGAUCUUCACGUUCACAGUGGCAGGAAGCCGGGAGGAAGCUGCGGAAACGUAGGUCAGGCGGUACUGGAGGAACGGAGUCUUGCAGGCAAUCGGAGCGACACCUAAGCGAGCCCUCUCUCGGCUCUUCCCCCGGUCCAGCGUUUUCCCAAAUCCAGGCUGAUGCUCUGCCUUCUCAAGGCCAGGGACUGGGCCCGGCAGGCCCAGUGUCGGUGGCAGGGGCGGGGUCGGUUUUCCAUUUCUGUUUCCUUGCCAGUACAGCCAGAACCCUGUGGGGAGGCUGGCACACACAUUUUGCCAAUUUUCCACCAAUCUGGAACGUUCAAGCAUGGUGGGAGGUUCCCACCCUUUUUCCUUUCCAAGGAUGUUGAUAUGUGCCCCUAGAGCAUCAUAGGAUUACUUGGGGGUAGGGGACUUCUCGGGGAGUGGGGGUUUUGGGAGGUUUUAUAUUUCAAGAUUAUAAUUAUGUGUCACCUGCUCUUUUUCAUUUUUGAAUUUCGCUAGGGUGGCUAAUCAACUAAUUGAUUUAAUUCCUUAGUGUAUUAAUUUCUAUUGCUUUCUUCUUUUUGAAUGCUGCCCCUCAGCCCGUCUGGCAUGUUUGAUUAUGACUUUGAGUAAGUUUGACUUGAUUUGACUUAGUUUUUGUGCUGUGAUGUCAGUGUGUAGCCUUUCUCCUCCCCUUCGCCGCCCUCCUUCAACUUCCCCACGUGCAUUUUCAGAACUAUUCUAAUCCAUAGUUUAUCUGUUUAAUUGUAGGUAUGUAUAUUAGGUUAGGCUGGCAAGUUUUUAAAAAUACAGACAAAAGCACAAUGGAGGAUUGAUCUCAAGUUGAACAAAAAACCACGAGCUGACUACUAGUGCUCCUCCAGGCUGAAUCUUCCAGGAACUUUUCUCCUCCCUCCCGAGAGACUGAAUAAGCACAAGGCUGGCUCUUUGCCGUGGCAGCCUGCACACCGGCGGCUUGGCUGGCCGAAACAGACCUUCCUGCUGCUGCCGGUUCAUCAUCAUGCAUAAAAUCCCUGAAGAGAAGUCCUCCCUACUUGCUGCCAUCCUCUGGUUGAUUUGUCUUGUCUUAUGUAUUUGGCUCUUUUUUUAAAAAAAUAAACUUUAUUUAAUUUUCCAUUGGUUAAGAUUAAGACAAAUUGUCUCCUAGAUGCUUUUUCUUCUUUGGAGCCCAAGAAUCCUCCAGUAGUCCUUUCAAACUGGGAAGGGUGAUUUCAUUUUACUCGGAAACUUCUGCUAACAACAUGAGGAAAAAAAAAGGUGUUUGGGGGACAGUCUCUUUUUUAAUACUUCUGUAUACUUAUUGGAAAUAAAACAACAAAACCUCCACCCCC